AACGAACGCUGGCGGCAUGCCUAACACAUGCAAGUCGAACGAGACCUUCGGGUCUAGUGGCGCACGGGUGCGUAACGCGUGGGAACCUGCCCUUAGGUUCGGAAUAACUCAGAGAAAUUUGAGCUAAUACCGGAUAAUGUCUUCGGACCAAAGAUUUAUCGCCUUUGGAUGGGCCCGCGUAGGAUUAGCUUGUUGGUGGGGUAAUGGCCUACCAAGGCGACGAUCCUUAGCUGGUCUGAGAGGAUGAUCAGCCACACUGGGACUGAGACACGGCCCAGACUCCUACGGGAGGCAGCAGUGGGGAAUAUUUGACAAUGGGCGAAAGCCUGAUCCAGCAAUGCCGCGUGAGUGAUGAAGGCCUUAGGGUUGUAAAGCUCUUUUACCAGGGAUGAUAAUGACAGUACCUGGAGAAUAAGCUCCGGCUAACUCCGUG
rnacentral:rRNA from 1 species